ensembl:lncRNA
UUUUCAUUGCUUUGGUUCUUUGGAGAGAUACAAGUGGAUUCGGAGUGUGGAAUACAACCUCUGUUGUUGAUUGGCAAGCUGGACGCUCUAAUGCAACAUGGAACCAAAAUUUUCACUUCGCUACGCCUGUUCAAGCUUUGGAGCUACUGUCCAGAAAAAGUGCAAAUGGAAAUGUUGACGGAGGAAAUUCUAGUAGUUUCAGUUAUACUUCAGAAGUCCAAACUGCUCAACAGGAUUCUAGUUUUGUUCAGUCUUCUGGUGGUGCUGCUCAAGGUAAACCUGUACUAAAUGCUCAAGGUCAAGCAACUCCCAUGGUUCAACCGCAGGACAACUUGAUGACUCAGUCCUCAAGGCUCUAUUGGUUUGAAUCUCUCAAGCCUGAAAACUGUGGCACUUUGCUCUCUCAAUCUUGGCCUCAAAAAGGUCAGAAUAACGGUGGAUUCCAAAGACCAUCCAGGUUCCAGUUUGGAGGCACUGCAAACCAGACAUCUGGAUCCCAGACCCAGUCGUCAUACCAGCCUAGCACCACAACACAGGUUCAGACAGGCGAGUCUAUUGCCCAGCCUGAGUCUUUCGGAGCUUCAGCUUCAUAUCCAAGUCAAACCUCUGGCAUGUACUCUGUUGUACAGGGUCCUCUGAUUGCAUCCUCUUCCCAAAUGCCUGGGUUCCACAUCCAGUCAUCAUACCAGCCUGGCACCACAACACAGGUUCAGACAGGCCAGUCUGCGUCUACAUCUCAGGCUCAGUCCUCUGGUGCGUCAACGUUGUAUCAAGGGAUUAGCUCUGGCAGGUAUCUGACUUCACUGGGUCAUAUAAUUCCAUCCUCCUCCCAGUCUGUGGUCACUACAAACCAGACAUCUGGAUCCCAGACCCAGUCAUCAUACCAGCCUAGCACUACAACGCUCCUUCAGACAGGCCAGCCUGUUCUUCCUCAGAGUCAGCCUUCGGGAGCUUCUGCUUCAUAUCCAAGUCAAACCUCUGGCGUGUACAAUAUUGCACAGCGUCCAUUGACUGCAACCCUUUCCGAAAUACCUGGGUUCCACAUCCAGUCAUCAUACCAGCCUGGCACUACAACACUGCUUCAGACAGGCCAGUCUGCGUCUACAUCUCAGGCUCAGUCCUCUGGUGCAUCAACAUUGUAUCAAGGAAUUAGGAGGAAUGUGACUUCUCUGGGUCAUGGCUUUCCAUACUCAACCCAGUCUGUGGUGACUGCAAACCAGACAUCUGGAUCCCAGACCCAGUCAUCAUACCAGCCUGGCACUACAACACUGCUUCAGACAGGCCAGUCUGCUCCUACAUCUCAGGCUCAGUCCUCUGGUGCAUCAACAUUGUAUCAAGGAAUUAGGAGAAAUGUGACUUCUCUGGGUCAUGGCUUUCCAUACUCAACCCAGUCUGUGGUGACUGCAAACCAGACAUCUGGAUCCCAGACCCAGUCAUCAUACCAGCCUGGCACCACAACACUGCUUCAGACAGGCCAGUCUGCUUCUACAUCUCAGGCUCUUGGCAGCCCUGGAGCUGCACCUUCAGGACAUGCUAAAUGGUACACCAUUGUACAAGGUCAGACAAUUCCAUCUUCUCAAGCGUCUGAAUCCCAGACCCAGUCAUCAUACCAGCCUAGCACUACAACACUGCUUCAGACAGGCCAGUCUGCUUCUACAUCUCAGGCUCAGUCCUCUGGUGCAUCAACAUUGUAUCAAGGAAUUAGGAGGAAUGUGACUUCUCUGGGUCAUGGCUUUCCAUACUCAACCCAGUCUGUGGUGACUGCAAACCAGACAUCUGGAUCCCAGACCCAGUCAUCAUACCAGCCUGGCACCACAACACUGCUUCAGACAGGCCAGUCUGCUUCUACAUCUCAGGCUCUUGGCAGCCAUGGAGCUGCACCUUCAGGACAUGCUAAAUGGUACACCAUUGUACAAGGUCAGACAAUUCCAUCUUCUCAAGCGUCUGGAUCCCAGACCCAGUCAUCAUACCAGCCUAGCACUACAACACUGCUUCAGACAGGCCAGCCUGUUCUUCCUCAGAGUCAGCCUUCGGGAGCUUCUGCUCCAUAUCCAAGUCAAACCUCUGGCGUGUACAAUAUUGCACAGCGUCCAUUGACUGCAACCCUUUCCGAAAUACCUGGGUUCCACAUCCAGUCAUCAUACCAGCCUGGCACUACAACACUGCUUCAGACAGGCCAGUCUGCGUCUACAUCUCAGGCUCAGUCCUCUGGCGCAUCAACAUUGUAUCAAGGAAUUAGGAGGAAUGUGACUUCUCUGGGUCAUGGCUUUCCAUACUCAACCCAGUCUGUGGUGACUGCAAACCAGACAUCUGGAUCCCAGACCCAGUUAUCAUACCAGCCUAGCACUACAACACUCCUUCAGACAGGCCUGUCUGCUUCUACAUCUCAGGCUCAGUCCUCUGGUGCCUCAACAUUCUAUCAAGGGAUUAGCUCUGGCAGGUAUCUGACUUCACUGGGUCAGAGCAUUCCAUCCUCCUCCCACUCUGUGGUCACUACAAACAAAAUCUCUGGAUUGCAGGACCAGUCAUUUCAGCCUGACACCACAACAAAUGCUUUGGUGGGUCAGUCUGCUUCUACAUCUUUGGCUCACGGCAACUUUCAGGCUCCAAAUUGGCAUACGAUAACUCCUCCUAGAUUCCAUAAUUUGCUACGGAACGUGUCGGUUUCUCAAUCUCUGAGCUCUGAUCCCCAAACAAGAACAAUCAACAAUAUUUUGCCGUUUCUGAACCAAAGUGCUGGGACUUCUGCCAUGUCUCAGAAUAAUGUACAGACCCCAGCAUUUCACACAUCUACACACUUCUCACCUGUCCCACAAACUGUUGCCACUCCCCCAGUCUCUCUACCCAAGCCUUGCCGACAGACACAAUGCUCAAUGGUGGAGAGUGCAAUUGCCUCUAUAGCAUCCAGCCAAACCUCUCCUCGUGUUGCCACA